UACGUAGGUGGCAAGCGUUGUCCGGAUUUACUGGGCGUAAAGAGCGCGCAGGCGGUCGGAUAAGUCGAAUGUGAAAGCCCCUGGCUCAACCAGGGAGGGUCAUUCGAUACUGUUCGACUCGAAGGCAGGAGAGGGAAGUGGAAUUCCGGGUGUAGUGGUGAAAUGCGUAGAUAUCUGGAGGAACACCGGUGGCGAAGGCGGCAUCCUGGACCGGCAUUGACGCUGAGGAGCGAAAGCCAGGGGAGCAAACGGG
rnacentral:rRNA from 1 species